rnacentral:rRNA from 1 species
AGCGAACGCUGGCGGCGUGCUUAACACAUGCAAGUCGAGCGAAGGUGUUUCAAGGGUAACCUUGAGAUACACUUAGCGGCGGACGGGUGAGUAAUACGUGGAUAACUUACCUCUAGGCCUGGGAUAACCCCGGGAAACUGGGGCUAAUACCUGAUAAGACCACAUUGUCUACGGACAAAGGGGUAAAAGGUGGCUGUGACAAACAGCUAUCGACCAAAAGAUAGGUUCACGUCCCAUCAGGCAGUUGGCGAGGUAAUGGCUCACCAAACCAAAAGACGGGUAGCCGGCCUUGGCGGGUGAACGGCCACACGGGGACUGAGACACGGCCCCGACUCCUACGGGAGGCAGCAGUGGGGAAUAUUGGGCAAUGGGCGCAAGCCUGACCCAGCGACGCCGC